rnacentral:lncRNA from 1 species
CAGGAUGACAAUUUAGGAAAAAAAAGUCAGGAUAAACUAAUAAAAAAAAGGCAGGACCGAAUGGAGUUAAAAAUAAAAAGCUCCCCCCCCCCCCCCAUAAAAAUCAAAUGGUAGCUCCCUUAGAGGUCAAACAAAGGGAAGAAAUGUUAAGAGACGAGAAAUCAUGAAAAGAUUUAAAACAGACAACAUAAUAGUCAGCAGAAAAAGACGGACAGACAAACAACAAGACAACACAUUUUCUACCAAAAUAACACUGGGUCAACUCUUUUACUGGAGGGAUCAGCUGUUCCUUUUUCAUGCGUUAGUAACAUGUCUGAAUGAAUGUAUUUACUAUUUAUAUAUCUAUUACUUUUUGACUGAUUUUUAAAGUCCUGAUCAUUACGUUGGUAACGCUUCGAGUGCAGACCAGAUGUCGUGUGUUCGAAUCACGAUCCAAUCAAAUCAAACACUAAGUAUAUGGUGCUCACGGCUAAGCACGUGGGAAUUGGGGGUCAAACCAAGGUUAGUAGGAGCCGCUCGGAGUUGGAAUGAUUUGUCCAGGCAUAAUGUGACAUGUCUUCCUGUGUUAACUUUCUGUUGGUCCAGUUCAAAGUAGGUUUUAUAUUCUGUUCUCGAUUUGAUUUUGCAUUUUUCCACUGGACGUUACACAACAAUUAAUGCACCC